rnacentral:rRNA from 1 species
AACGUAGGAGACGAACGUUAUCCGGAGUUACUGGGCGUAAAGGGCGUGUAGGCGGUUUGUUAAGUCUGGCGUGAAAGCUCUCGGCUAAACCGGGAGAGGUCGUUGGAUACUGGCGAACUAGAGGAUGGUAGAGGCGUGUGGAAUUCCGGGUGUAGUGGUGAAAUGCGUAGAGAUCCGGAGGAACACCAGUGGCGAAGGCGACACGCUGGGCCAUACCUGACGCUAAAGCACGACAGCAUGGGGAGCAAACGGG